rnacentral:lncRNA from 1 species
ACCAUCUCCUUUUCUCCUUGUCAGCCCUCCCUCCUCGACGUAUAAUCUCUCCCCUUACCUCUCCUUUUCUCUCCGUAGUCCUCCCUCCCUCCCUACGUAUAUCUGCCCUUAUACCUCUCCCUUUCUCCUGACAGCCUCCUCCCUUCCUACAGUAUUUCUCUCCCCUAUACCUCUCCUUUCUCUCCUGUCAGUCCUCCCUCACCUACAGAGUAAGAUCUCUCCCCUCUACCCUUCAUUUUCUCUCCUGUCAGCCUCCCUCCCUACAGUUUCUCUCCCUUAUACUAUCCUUUCUCUCUGUCAGCCUCCCUCCCUACAGUAUUAUUCUCCCCUUAUACAUCUCUUUCUCUUUGUCCGCUCCCUCCUACAGUAUAUCUUC